rnacentral:misc_RNA from 1 species
CGCAUGCGCGCUCCGCUCGCGCCGCGCUCGCGCACUGGGAGAAGGCAUGCUCGCUGGCGCAGAAGUAUUCGCUUGAAGUGUCGCCAGUGGAAGAGUCACUCAUGGAAAUGCUACACCCGGAAGGAAACAUCGACUCGCAAUGGGUGGGCAAUGUGUCGGCACUAGUGCGCGAAACGGCAAACGCUCUGAGCGAAGCGCGCAC